rnacentral:rRNA from 1 species
GUUUACGUAGGUGAACCUGCGGAGGGAUCAUUACCGAGUUUACAACUCCCAAACCCCAUGUGAACUUAUACCCUUUUCCUGUUGCCUCGGCGGGUCAUUUGCCCCGGACCGGGCUCGUCCAGAGCCCGCCCGGAAACAGGCGCCCGCCGCGGGACCGAAACUCUGUAUCUCUUAGCCUUUGGCACGUCUGAGUGGAAUCAUACAAAAAUGAAUCAAAACUUCCAACAACGGAUCUCAGGUUCUGGCAUCGAUGAAGAACGCAGCGAAAUGCGAUAAGUAAUGUGAAUUGCAGAAUUCAGUGAAUCAUCGAAUCUUUGAACGCACAUUGCGCCCGCCAGUAUUCUGGCGGGCAUGCCUGUUCGAGCGUCAUUUCAACGCUCAAGCCCCCGCGGUUUGGUGUUGGGGGCCGGCGAUUGUCAGCUGGGCCGCUCAGGUUCCCUGCGGCGCCGCCCCCGAAAUGAAUUGGCGGCCCCGUCGCGGCCUCCUCUGCGUAGUAGCACAACCUCGCAACAGGAGCGCGGCGCGGCCACUGCCGUAAAACGCACAAACUUCUCCAAGAGUUGACCUCGAAUCAGGUAGGAAUACCCGCUGAACUUAAGCAUAU